GAUGAAGAACGUAGCGAAAUGCGAUAAGUAAUGUGAAUUGCAGAAUUCAGUGAAUCAUCGAAUCUUUGAACGCACCUUGCACUCCUUGGUAUUCCGAGGAGUACGCCUGUUCGAGUGUUAUGAAGCUCUCAAAACGCAAUUGGCUUAAAACCUGAUUGUUGUUUUGGAUUUGAACUUUGCCGUGUUAUAACGGCUGGUUUUAAAAGUAUUAGCUGGUACUAGAACGAAUUGGUUCUACUCAACGUGAUAUUUAUAUGAUCGUUGAGGACAUUCCUUUCACGAGGAAUGGCCAUAGUAAAUUCAAUGGACUGCUUCUAAUCUGGCUUUAAUUCUUUAUUGGAUUAACCACUUUUCAAAUCUGACCUCGAAUCAGGUGGGACUACCCGCUGAACUUAAGCAUAUCAAUAAGCGGAGGA
rnacentral:misc_RNA from 1 species